UAUUAAGUUACUUUUAUUGUUAAACUUAGUUUCAGUUAUGGAUUUAAAGAAUAUUCUUGUGAAUAUAAGGAUUGUAUCAAAAUUAUUUUAAAUUUGUGUCCAGAAACUAUUGAUAAAAUCAUUAGGAAAGAAGACAGGAAAAAAUUAGGAAAGCUUUUAGAAUUUGUAGAUCAAUUUUACAAGAUUGUCAAGGUGAUCUAUGACUCUAGGAUAACUCAAUCACUCCCUGUUACCUAUAUGAAUAUAAUUAGUAAAAAUAGCAAUAAAAGUGAAAAUACCAAGAUUAUUGACAAAAACAUAAACAUACAGAAAACUAUACACAGGGGACAUGCAGUAUUAUUAAAAGGUAAAGAUAACAUCCAACUAAAUUUUAAAGAAAUAACAAAAGAACUUUUAAGGAAUAUUAAUCCAAACAGUUUGGGAAUUGGAUGGGAAACUUGCACUAAAGCUAUAUAUAUCAAUAUACAGGAUGAUAAAGAUUUAGAGAUAAAUUUAAGAAAGCUAUAAAAACCAACCCUAUCUUUAAAAAUAAAGUACAGGUAAAAAAUAUCUUGUAAUUUUAGAGUUAUUCUCCUUGGUCUUGACACAGUUGAAAAUGAAACUUUAACACAGGACAUGUAUAACCAAAACACAGUUAUAAACAUACAUUUCAUCAAAACUUAAUUCACAAACAACUGCAAAAUCACCACUAUUAUUAGCAAUAAGAACACAGCAUAUAACAGAAGACAGUCUUACAAAUUACAAGUAGCAUAAGAAACUUAUUAAUCAAUAUCAAAGAGCAAAUUUAUUGAGGUCUUGUAAAUUUCAUAUGAUUGAACAGAUAUUCUGAAAGUGG
rnacentral:lncRNA from 1 species